rnacentral:rRNA from 1 species
AUCUUAAUGAGAGUUUGAUCCUGGCUCAGGACGAACGCUGGCGGCGUGCCUAAUACAUGCAAGUAGAACGCUGAGGACUGGUGCUUGCACCGGUCCAAGGAGUUGCGAACGGGUGAGUAACGCGUAGGUAACCUACCUCAUAGCGGGGGAUAACUAUUGGAAACGAUAGCUAAUACCGCAUAAAAGUGUUUAACCCAUGUUAAACAUUUAAAAGGUGCAAUUGCAUCACUAUGAGAUGGACCUGCGUUGUAUUAGCUAGUUGGUGAGGUAACGGCUCACCAAGGCGACGAUACAUAGCCGACCUGAGAGGGUGAUCGGCCACACUGGGACUGAGACACGGCCCAGACUCCUACGGGAGGCAGCAGUAGGGAAUCUUCGGCAAUGGAC